GAGACCUCAGGUCAGGCGGGGCCACCCGCUGAGUUUAA
rnacentral:rRNA from 1 species